UAGGGUCAGGAGCUCACAGGGCCACAUGGCUUGUACCGUGCUCUGGGCUAGGGUCAGGAGCUCAGUCGUGUGGGGCUAGGGCUGGGCCUUUCUAAGGCACCUUGGCUGGCCUUGCUACAUUUGUCCAACAGGAACAAAGUAUCUACCCGUGCCGGGAAGGGGACCUCAGUUGCUGGCUCUUGCCUGAAUGAGUUUGCUCCUGGGCCUUAGCUUGCCUGGCCUCACAGUCCCCCUUUGCAUCUGAACCUUGGCUAGCUGACACCUACCCCUAAAGGCCUGACCUCAUAUUGUCGUUUGACACUCAACUGGCAGCCUGACCUAUUAUGGGGUCAAACCUCUUACCCUGCACCCACCUCAAGCCCAGCCCAGGGCUGCACUAGUCAGUGUUCUCCUGCCCUCUCCUGCAGGGUGACAAACUUGGUUCACCAAGAGGGUAACUCCCUCUUCUAGUCUGAUCCCCCAAGACCACCAAAGUUCCACCUACCCUCAUCCCCAAGGCUAGCAGGCCAAGCUCCUUCUACAUGACAAAGGGCAGUCUCCCUCCCACCUGACACCUAAUCAAGCCCAUUGUGCAAAAUCCCCAAUCCACAUUCACUUCCCCCUGGCUGAUUGGUCAAUUACUGUAUUUCCCCAAAGACAAUCCAGAAUCCACAUUCAGAAAAAGAGAUCUGUUUGCCAAGGGAUAUUUGUCCUGUCUGCUGGCUACACCUUCUUUAACGAUGCUGCGAUGUGUCUCACCACCUCCUUAGUCGUAGGCCACACAACCCUAGUUUGAGCAAUUGCCAACAGCUGGAGAUCAUGACAAGAGCCCUGUCCGAGACUGUAUUCUCUAUGCUGAGCUUGGCUUCUCCUCUGGACCCCAGAACCAAAAAUGUUCAAAUGUUCUCUGCCCCUACCUCCUUGUUUCCAACUUCUAUAGUCAGAGAGGCCUCCAAACCUAGAGCCCUUUGGGGGUCCUUCCUGCCUCAUAUCCCCCGCAAGACAGUAUGGUCUCACUGGGUCUCAUUUUCUGUUUGAGACCCUCCAUCCCUUGCUGGGCGACCUCCAAAAUAGUGAUAAUCCUUGAAAAACUUCUAUUAUAAAGUGAGCUGCAUUAGUCGAAACCCUCCAAAAGUAAAGUCUGUAAAGUUAAUUAUAGAAGCAGGGAAUGGCGAUAUGGGCUUGCGAUUCCAGCACUUGGAAGGCAGAGGCAAGAGAACCAGAAGUCCAAGGCCAUCUUUAGCUACAUAGUGAACUGGAGGCCAGCCUUAGCUGGCUACAGUGAGACCUUGUAUCAAAAUUCAAAAUAAAAUGAGCAUAGUAGUGCAGAAGUUUUAACCCAGGACUUGGGAGGCAAAGGCAGAUGAAUUUCUGUGAGUUUCAAGCCAGUCGGAUUUACAAGGAACUUCCAAGCCAGCCAGAGCUACAUGGUAAGAUCUUACCUUUAUUUUUUUAUCUUAUGUGCUUUGAUGGUUUGCCUGCAUGUAUAUCUGUGUGAGGGCAUCAGAUCUCCUGGAACCAGAGUUACAAACAGUUGUGAGCUGAUAUACGGGUGCUACGAGUUGAAGCUAUGUCCUAUGGAAGA
rnacentral:lncRNA from 1 species